rnacentral:rRNA from 1 species
CGGUUGAUCCUGCCGGAGGCUAUUGCUAUCAGGGUUUGACUAAGCCAUGCGAGUCGAGAGGUGAAAGACCUCGGCAUACUGCUCAGUAACACGUGGAUAAUCUGCCCUCAGGUGAGGAAUAAUCCCGGGAAACUGGGGCUAAUGCCUCAUAGGAGACGGGUGCUGGAAUGCUCUGUCUCCGAAAGGUCCGCCGCCUGAGGAUGAGUCUGCGUCCGAUUAGGUUGUUGUUGGGGUAACGGCCCAACAAGCCUUUGAUCGGUACGGGUUGUGGGAGCGAGAGCCCGGAGAUGGAUUCUGAGACAUGAAUCCAGGCCCUACGGGGCGCAGCAGGCGCGAAAACUUUACAAUGCGAGCAAUCGUGAUAAGGAAACCCUGAGUGCCUGUCAAUGCAGGCUGUUCUGGUGUCUAACACACACCAGGAGAAAGGGCGGGGCAAGACCGGUGCCAGCCGCCGCGGUAAUACCGGCUGCUCGAGUGAUAGCCACUUUUACCGGGCUUAAAGCGUUCGUAGCUUGGUCGUUAAGUCUCUGGGGAAAUCUUUUGGCUCAACCAAAAGGCGUCUCAGGGAAACUGACGAUCUUGGAACCGGGAGAGGUAAGACGUACUUCGGGGGUAGGAGUGAAAUCUUGUAAUCCCCGAGGGACGACCGAUGGCGAAGGCAUCUUACCAGAACGGCUUCGACAGUGAGGGACGAAAGCUGGGGGAGCAAACCGGAUUAGAUACCCGGGUAGUCCCAGCCGUAAACGACGUGCGUUAGGUGUGUCAGUGACCACGAGUCGCUGAGGUGCCGAAGGGAAACCGUGAAACGCACCGCCUGGGAAGUACGGUCGCAAGGCUGAAACUUAAAGGAAUUGGCGGGGGAGCAC